UGUUGAACGAACGGAUAAAAGUUACAUUUUUAUUAUUUUCAUUGAAAAUUUUUGGGUUAUAGUUGAAUUUAUUAUUUUGUUUUUUGAUCGAAAGCAGCAAUUUAUGAAAUGGGUUGUGGGAAUCAUGUGGAUAUUUCUACAAUCUGUUGGGAUAAGACAAAUUCAUUUCUUCAAAGAGACUUGGUGUAAUUGAGUUUCUCUCUUUUAUCUAAUGGUGGAAUUGUACUAGUGAUACGUAUACCAAUGUUAAAAUGUCAAAUGCUAUUCCUUCUUCCUUAUUUCACUUGCAGAAACAAUUGAAGCAAUUGAAGCAUUUUUGAUUUAUGAUUUUAGAGAAUUUCUGAUUUAUCGGAUUUCAUAUGCAGAUACAAUUGAAGCACUGGCAUUCAUGGAUUUAAGAUUUGGAGCCAACUCGAAACUUUUUCACUCUGCAGCUAAGCAUUAAGUUGAGAAGUCGGGAAUUUGAGAUGGAAAAAUUAAGAAAAAUCUGUAUGAUUCCUGGAAUAUCAUCUUAAGGCUUGGUCUUUUAAUUAUCUUCUCAAAGAUCAUAAGGUGCUGAAAGCUGAAGCAGUAGAUAUUAGCCUUGGAGUGGAUCAGGAGGCGUUUGUGAAAAGGGUGCUCCAUGUCAAUUGCCGAAAAGGAGACAAUUCCUCUUCUACGUGUUGGCCUGUAACUUUUAUAUGUCUUUGCCCUUGGUCCCAUGUUCCAUUUCCUCUUGCCUUGGAAUUGUGUCCUUUUCACUUAACUCACUCCUUCCUUGAUUGAAAAAAUAUCAUUUCACAACAGAGGCCAAGAAGGGAGCUUUAAAAUGAAGGUCUUCUUUUUUGCCCUUUUGAAGGAAACCCUGGGAAAGAGGUGGGGAGCUGGGAGUUGGGCUCAAGAGUUGUUUGGCUUGAUGUGAUAUUGCAACUCAGAUACAAGUGAAGGAAGAUGAAUCUAAGAGGAGCUUACUUUAUAUAGAGACAGCUGAUAGACCUGGAUUACUGGUAGAAAUCAUCAAUAUUAUUGCUGAUUUCAACAUUGAUGUGGAAUCAGCAGAGAGUGACGCAGAACAGAGACUUGCAUAAAAAAUCAUCAAUUGAUGAAGUGGAUGUGAGAAUCAUUGGGGGAUUUCUACAAUAUUAUGGCAUAUGUCAGCCUCACUUGUACUCAAAACAAUGGAAACUAUACAAAGCACUUUCAUGAUGAGGAAGAUCGGGUUUCUUUCACUUGCUUGAAAGCAUUUUAAUCCCAAAAGGCAGUGAGAAUGCUUGCUUGUCUUCAAGUGAAAUCGGCUGUUGUGCUGACUGGAAUUGAAGAUCAUGUUAGCCAACCACUCUGUUUAUGUGUCUCUUGUUAGUGCAAUGCUCAUAUUGAUCUCAAUUUCAAUAUGAUCAAUAUGAUAUUGUGAAGCAGUAUACUACAUUUUUUUUUUUUUUUUUUUUUUUUUUACUGUGAGUCCAUUUUGUGGUAGGUGACCUGGACAAUAGGCAAGUUUACCCCAUGUGAUCAAUACGAUAUUGGUUCUCUCCUUUGCCUGUUGCCUAGAACUGGCUAAGCUAUUGAUUCUUGUUACUGACUUGUUUAUUGCAUGUACAUUCAUACAUCUCUUACUUACAGGCUUGUUAAACUUCGAUGCUUUUAUAUGCACUUGCAUGGAUAGUUACACUUUUAUUUUUUGUAACAAUGGUACAGAGUUAGGUGUACAUUUUGUGUUCAAUCGAUGUAUGAUUAGUUAGAUAUAGUACUCAAUGCGUGUACA